UACAGAGGUGGCAAGCGUUGUUCGGAAUUACUGGGCGUAAAGGGCGCGUAGGCGGUCUUGCAAGUCCUGUGUGAAAUCCCUCGGCUCAACUGAGGAACUGCACAGGAAACUGCUUGGCUUGAGUUCGGGAGAGGGAAGCGGAAUUCCGGGUGUAGCGGUGAAAUGCGUAGAUAUCAAGAGGAACACCUGCGGCGAAGGCGGGUUGCUGGGCCGACACUGACGCUGAGGCGCGAAAGCCAGGGGAGCGAACGGG
rnacentral:rRNA from 1 species